CCUGGCUCAGAUUGAACGCUGGCGGCAUGCCUUACACAUGCAAGUCGAACGGUAACAGGUCUUCGGAUGCUGACGAGUGGCGAACGGGUGAGUAAUACAUCGGAACGUGCCCAGACGUGGGGGAUAACGAGGCGAAAGCUUUGCUAAUACCGCAUACGAUCUAAGGAUGAAAGCAGGGGACCGCAAGGCCUUGCGCGUUUGGAGCGGCCGAUGGCAGAUUAGGUAGUUGGUGGGAUAAAAGCUUACCAAGCCGACGAUCUGUAGCUGGUCUGAGAGGACGACCAGCCACACUGGGACUGAGACACGGCCCAGACUCCUACGGGAGGCAGCAGUGGGGAAUUUUGGACAAUGGGCGAAAGCCUGAUCCAGCAAUGCCGCGUGCAGGAUGAAGGCCCUCGGGUUGUAAACUGCUUUCGUACGGAACGAAAAGCCUGGGGCUAAUAUCCCCGGGUCAUGACGGUACCGUAAGAAUAAGCACCGGCUAACUACGUGCCAGCAGCCGCGGUAAU
rnacentral:rRNA from 1 species